CCAGACUCCUACGGGAGGCAGCAGUGGGGAAUAUUGGGCAAUGGGCGCAAGCCUGACCCAGCAACGCCGCGUGAAGGAAGAAGGCUUUCGGGUUGUAAACUUCUUUUAAGAGGGAAGGGAAGAAGACGGUACCUCUUGAAUAAGCCACGGCUAACUACGUGCCAGCAGCCGCGGUAAUACGUAGGUGGCAGGCGUUGUCCGGAUUUACUGGGUGUAAAGGGAGCGUAGACGGCAGUGCAAGUCUGGAGUGAAAGGCGGGGGCUCAACCCCCGGACUGCUCUGGAAACUGUACGGCUGGAGUGCAGGAGAGGUAAGUGGAAUUCCUAGUGUAGCGGUGAAAUGCGUAGAUAUACGGAGGAACACCAGUGGCGAAGGCGGAUUGCUGGACAGUAACUGACGCUGAGGCGCGAAAGCGUGGGGAGCAAACAGGAUUAGAUACCCCGUACG
rnacentral:rRNA from 1 species